AGAUUGAACGCUGGCGGCAGGCCUAACACAUGCAAGUCGAGCGGUAGAGAGGUGCUUGCACCUCUUGAGAGCGGCGGACGGGUGAGUAAAGCCUAGGAAUCUGCCUGGUAGUGGGGGAUAACGCUCGGAAACGGACGCUAAUACCGCAUACGUCCUACGGGAGAAAGCAGGGGACCUUCGGGCCUUGCGCUAUCAGAUGAGCCUAGGUCGGAUUAGCUAGUUGGUGAGGUAAUGGCUCACCAAGGCGACGAUCCGUAACUGGUCUGAGAGGAUGAUCAGUCACACUGGAACUGAGACACGGUCCAGACUCCGUACGGGAGGCAGCAGGUGGGGAAUAUUGGGAACAAGUGGGACGAAAGCCUGGAUCCAGCCAUGCCGCGGUGUGUAGAACGGAAAGGUCUUACGGAUUUGGUAAAAGCCGUAACUUUUAAGGUUGGGAAGGGAAAGGGCCUAAGUUAAACCUAAAUACGUUUAGUGUUUUAGAACGUUACCGAC
rnacentral:rRNA from 1 species